GCUGACUGCUAACUUUGCAGAAAGGAGGGAAGCUGCGACUGCAAGCCACUGUAUUCCUGAAAUAGAACAAAUAAAAGCAGGCUUGCCAGCAGACUGGACCUGGAAGGAUGCUAGCCCCAGCUCCUGUCGUCCCCUGCAAAUCUUGGAGUCUCUCCUCUCUCGCAGACACCAAUGCAAUCCUGGUCUAUCUUCAGACUGCAUGGCAGAGCUGAAAGAUCUGCCCAUUUUGUCGCCCGGGACCCAGGCAGGAGAAGGUGUAGAAGGGUAUUUCGGAUAAGCCAAAAAAUCACCUCUUCUUGCAUCUCCUAUAAGAGGAAAGAUCCCGGUCCAAAAAAAAAAAAAAACCAGCGAGAGAUCGACCGAUUUACUGAUGUGGAGUGACAUGAAGCCCGCUUGUUGACUCAGUAGGUCUUCUGUACUGCAAGGCUCAAUCUUGAAAUGGGUUUUUCGAUGGUGCACCUUGUCCUUCUGGCUUUUGGAUACCCAUAAGAAAACAAAAAAUUCUAGGCAGAAAAUUUUGGAGAUUUAAGAUUGGGUUCUGGGAUCCCAAGCUGAUCUAGAAGGAGAUCCUUACCAACCUCAAUGUGGAUGUUAUAACUUUUUUCUUAAAAA